rnacentral:rRNA from 1 species
GACGAACGCUGGCGGCGUGCCUAAUACAUGCAAGUAGAACGCUGAAGGAGGAGCUUGCUCUUCUGGAUGAGUUGCGAACGGGUGAGUAACGCGUAGGUAACCUGCCUGGUAGCGGGGGAUAACUAUUGGAAACGAUAGCUAAUACCGCAUAAAAUUGAUUAUUGCAUGAUAGUCAAUUAAAAGGUGCAAUUGCAUCACUACCAGAUGGACCUGCGUUGUAUUAGCUAGUUGGUGAGGUAACGGCUCACCAAGGCAACGAUACAUAGCCGACCUGAGAGGGUGAUCGGCCACACUGGGACUGAGACACGGCCCAGACUCCUACGGGAGGCAGCAGUAGGGAAUCUUCGGCAAUGGACGGAAGUCUGACCGAGCAACGCCGCGUGAGUGAAGAAGGGUGUCGGAUCGUAAAGCUCUGUUGUAAGAGAAGAACGAGUGUGAGAGUGGAAAGUUCACACUGUGACGGUAUCUUACCAGAAAGGGACGGCUAACUACGUG